rnacentral:sRNA from 1 species
GCGGCGGCGUUGGCGGCCUGUGCAGCAAUGGUGAGAGCUGCGGAAUCGGGCUACAUCCGAGCGCUGUGAGGCGCGGGGGUUGGGGAAGGCGGUGCGGGCUGAGCCCGCGGAUUCCAUCUGCCAGCUAGGCCUGUGGGGCGCCGCGCAGAAUGGUCUGGCGCCACCACAACCCGCCUCUUCGCUUGGCGCCGGGAGAGGCGCGCGGCCCGGGCCUGGGUUACUCUGCCCGAGGCACGGCCGGCGAGGGAGACUGUCCUGAGCCCUGGUUGGGGCUCCGGCGCACUCGUAGUCGAUGGCGAGUUGCGCGCCUUUGGGGGCUAGCCACGCAGGUGAAGGGGAUAUGGCCCCGCGGCCUGGCUGAGCCACACGCUCUCUUGCGCGCAGGCCAAGAUCAAGGCUCGAGAUCUUCGCGGGAAGAAGAAGGAGGAGCUGCUGAAACAGCUGGACGACCUGAAGGUGGAGCUGUCCCAGCUGCGCGUCGCCAAAGUGACAGGCGGUGCGGCCUCCAAGCUCUCUAAGAUCCGAGUCGUCCGGAAAUCCAUUGCCCGUGUUCUCACAGUUAUUAACCAGACUCAGAAAGAAAACCUCAGGAAAUUCUACAAGGGCAAGAAGUACAAGCCCCUGGACCUGCGGCCUAAGAAGACACGUGCCAUGCGCCGCCGGCUCAACAAGCACGAGGAGAACCUGAAGACCAAGAAGCAGCAGCGGAAGGAGCGGCUGUACCCGCUGCGGAAGUACGCGGUCAAGGCCUGAGGGGCGCAUUGUCAAUAAAGCACAGCUGGCUGAGA